rnacentral:rRNA from 1 species
GAUGAACGCUGGCGGCGUGCCUAAUACAUGCAAGUCGAGCGAACGGACGAGAAGCUUGCUUCUCUGAUGUUAGCGGCGGACGGGUGAGUAACACGUGGAUAACCUACCUAUAAGGCUGGGAUAACUUCGGGAAACCGGAGCUAAUACCGGAUGAUAUUUUGAACCGCAUGGUUCAAAAGUGAAAGACGGUCUUGCUGUCACUUAUAGAUGGAUCCGCGCUGCAUUAGCUAGUUGGUAAGGUAACGGCUUACCAAGGCAACGAUGCAUAGCCGACCUGAGAGGGUGAUCGGCCACACUGGAACUGAGACACGGUCCAGACUCCUACGGGAGGCAGCAGUAGGGAAUCUUCCGCGAUGGGCGAAUGCCUGACGGAGCAACGCCGCGUGAGUGAUGAAGGUCUUCGGAUCGUAAAACUCUGUUAUUAGGGAAGAACAUAUGUGUAAGUAACUGUGCACAUCUUGACGGUACCUAAUCAGAAAGCCACGGCUAACUACGUG